rnacentral:antisense_RNA from 1 species
GAUGGACAUCAUGGACUCGUUUUUCGAGCCUUGGCCUACAGCCAGGUAAGAGGUCAUGCCCAGCUCUUUCAUUUCUUGCUCGCCAAUGAUCUUGGUGCUGACUUUUUCAAAGUCAUCCGCCAGACGGCGCGCUUGAGAGGCAAGGUACGCUGGGUUUGCAACGUUUGGUGGCAUGUUGCCAAGGUCUUUACA